UAGAAAUGACCAAGGCACUUGUUUUCUAUCGAGCACAACCAGUUCCAAAUGCAACUUACCUGUGAGCAGAGAGAGUAUUCGUUAACCCCUUUGAGCUUAAACAGUUGAAUCUCAGCUUGAAAUAAAGCGAGAUUUCAAAAAUCUUUUCUUCUUGAAACCCGGAAAAUUUUGAUAAUUGUUCUUUUGCCGUAAAAAGUCAAGAGCAUUCACUUAGGGUGAGUAAGAAAUAAGUUGGGGAGAAUGAAAAUUAGAAUCGGUAAGUGCCA
rnacentral:lncRNA from 1 species